rnacentral:rRNA from 1 species
GAUGAACGCUGGCGGCGUGCCUAAUACAUGCAAGUCGAGCGAACGGACGAGAAGCUUGCUUUUCUGAUGUUAGCGGCGGACGGGUGAGUAACACGUGGAUAGCCUACCUAUAAGACUGGGAUAACUUCGGGAAACCGGAGCUAAUACCGGAUAAUAUUUUGAACCGCAUGGUUCAAAAGUGAAAGACGGUCUUGCUGUCACUUAUAGAUGGAUCCGCGCUGCAUUAGCUAGUUGGUAAGGUAACGGCUUACCAAGGCAACGAUGCAUAGCCGACCUGAGAGGGUGAUCGGCCACACUGGAACUGAGGCACGGUCCAGACUCCUACGGGAGGCAGCAGUAGGGAAUCUUCCGCAAUGGGCGAAAGCCUGACGGAGCAACGCCGCGUGAGUGAUGAAGGUCUUCGGAUCGUAAAACUCUGUUAUUAGGGAAGAACAUAUGUGUAAGUAACUGUGCACAUCUUGACGGUACCUAAUCAGAAAGCCACGGCUAACUACGUG